CACAUCCCACCCUUUGGGCAGUGCUGCUGUGCAGACUUAUAGCCAGGGCAGCCAGGAGAGAGCAUCCCCAGGGGAAAGCCAUUCUCGGUUCCCAAGAGGCAACUCCUCCAAGUCACUGUCAACUUCCCAGGGGGCUGGCUAGCAUGUAAGGGGGAACCUAUUUAACAAAAAGGUGUGUCUCAUCUGCUGUCUGUCCCCACUGUCAGGGUCUCUGUCCCUUGCAGCAGGCUGGGGCUAGGCCAGGCAGGACACGGGCAUGCAGGACAUAGUUUGAGAGGCUUCCCGACAGGUAUGGGGCAGAAGAGGCCCUGUGUCUCCCCUUCAAUCCUGCUCUUAACCAAGGGUACUAAACACAGGCAGACACUUGAG
rnacentral:lncRNA from 1 species